UUUUCUUGAGGCUGUGAUAAGGGCGAGUGCUAGUUUCUCCAUGUUCGGGUAGCGUGUUUCAGCUGAGAGAAGUGCUUUGCUGAUGUAGUACACGGGCAAUUGGCGUUCAUUUUCUUCUCUGACUAGGACGGCACUGACCGCUACGUCCGAAACCACUAAGUACAGUAGUAGAGACUCAUCAGAUUGAGAUUUCGACAAGAGGGACGCCUCUCCAAGGUGCUUUUUCAGAGCCUCGAAGGCUUCUUCACACUCCGAAGUCCAUUGAAAUUUCUUUCCUUGUUUCAGCACAUUGAAAAAAGGUAAGCUUUUAUCUGUGGCC
rnacentral:lncRNA from 1 species